UACGUAGGGGGCAAGCGUUGUCCGGAUUUACUGGGUGUAAAGGGCGCGCAGGUGGGUUUGUAAGUCAGAGGUGAAAGCCUGGAGCUCAACUCCAGAACUGCCUUUGAAACUACAAAUCUUGAGUGCAGAAGAGAGAAGCGGAAUUCCAGGUGUAGUAGUGAAAUACGUAGAUAUCUGGAAGAACACCAGUUGCGAAGGCGGCUUCUUGGUCUGUCACUGACACUGAGGCGCGAAAGCGUGGGGAGCAAACAGGAUUAGAGACCCUGGUAGUCCACGCUGUAAACGAUGAAUACUAGAUGUCGGGUUUUUACUCGGUGUCGCAGCUAACGCAUUAAGUAUUCCACCUGGGAAGUACGAUCGCAAGGUUGAA
rnacentral:rRNA from 1 species